rnacentral:rRNA from 1 species
GACGUAGGGCGCGAGCGUUGUCCGGAUUUAUUGGGCGUAAAGAGCUCGUAGGCGGCUUGUCGCGUCGACCGUGAAAACUCGCAGCUCAACUGCGAGCCUGCGGUCGAUACGGGCAGGCUAGAGUUCGGUAGGGGAGACUGGAAUUCCUGGUGUAGCGGUGAAAUGCGCAGAUAUCGGGAGGAACACCAGUGGCGAAGGCGACUUCCUGGCCUGUUCUUGACGCUGAGGCGCGAAAGCUAGGGGAGCAAACGGG